rnacentral:rRNA from 1 species
CUAAGGUCCAUGUCCGAGAGGGAAAGAACCCAGACCAUCAGCUAAGGUCCCCAAAUAUAUGUUAAGUUGAAAAAACGAGGUUUGUCUGCCCAGACAGCUAGGAUGUUGGCUUGGAAGCAGCCAUUCAUUUAAAGAGUGCGUAACAGCUCACUAGUCGAGCGGACGAGCAUGGAUAAUAAUCGGGCAUAAACAUAUUACCGAAGCUAUGGAUUAACGUUGAAAGACACGUUAGUGGUAGGGGAGCAUUGUAACCUGCGUAGAAGGUGUGCUGUGAGGCAUGCUGGAGUGGUUACAAAAGAAAAUGUAGGCAUAAGUAACGAUAAUGGGGGCGAGAAACCCCCACACCGAAAGACUAAGGUUUCCUCAGCGAUGCUAAUCAGCUGAGGGUUAGUCGGGUCCUAAGGCGAAUCCGAAGGGAGUAGUCGAUGGACAACAGGUUAAUAUUCCUGUACUUCUUAUAAUUGCGAUGUGGUGACGGAGUAUUGAAAGCACCGCGAACUGACGGAAUAGUUCGUUGAAGACUGUAUCUAUAAGAUCUGUAGGCAAAUCCGCAGAUUUUGGAGAAGGUUGAUAGUACUACAAGGCUUCGGCUGCGUAGAUAGUGUGCCUAAAAGCUUCCAAGAAAAACCUCUAAGCUUCAGAUUAUAAGAACCCGUACCGUAAACCGACACAGGUAGUUGGGAUGAGAAUUCUAAGGUGCUCGAGAGAUUCAUGGCUAAGGAACUAGGCAAAAUAGACCCGUAACUUCGGGAGAAGGGUCGCCCAUCUUCGGAUGGGCCGCAGUGAAAAGGUCCAGGCGACUGUUUAUCAAAAACACAGGGCUUUGCUAAAUUGAAAGAUGAUGUAUAAGGCCUGACACCUGCCCGGUGCUGGAAGGUUAAGUGGAGUUGUUAGCUUCGGCGAAGCAGUGAAAUGAAGCCCCAGUAAACGGCGGCCGUAACUAUAACGGUCCUAAGGUAGCGAAAUUCCUUGUCGGGUAAGUUCCGACCUGCACGAAUGGUGCAACGAUCUGGACACUGUCUCAGCCAUGAGCUCGGUGAAAUUGUAGUAUCGGUGAAGAUGCCGAUUACCCGCAGCGGGACGAAAAGACCCCGUGAACCUUUACUAUAGCUUAGUAUUGGCUUUGGAUAAGUAAUGUGUAGGAUAGGUGGGAGACAUUGAAGUGGCGUCGCUAGGCGU